CGAAUUUCCAAAUCGAAGUUUAAUGAUAUGGUAUUUGGUAUGUAUUUUCAUUUACCGAUUAUCAAAUUACCGAAUUUGAAUUAUGAUAAUAGCAAACUGAAUACCGAACACCCACCCCUAGAUACAUAUAACCAAAUUAGGCCUAAGAAAUAAAAUUGAUUGUGAAUGGCAAUAUAUAUUAUUUUUAUUAAUGUAAGAUAAACAUCGA
rnacentral:lncRNA from 1 species